rnacentral:lncRNA from 1 species
CAUGCGCCCAGCAGCAUCCGCUCUGGGCUCCUCGAUCUCGGGCCUGUCCCGCCUUCCCACUGGCGGGCUCCCCUUGGUCGCGCGGGGCUUUUGGUUGCAAGUGUCAGGGGAGCCAGCCGGUCCUCUCGACAGACCUGGGAAAGGUGCCAGGCAGUGCCCUUUGCACGAGGACAGAGAGCCCCAGCCCUGGAUCAGGGGUCGUAAGUGUGCAGUCCACCCUGACAGGAGCUGCCAUUUUCUGGACUUUGGGCGCUGCAGAACAUCAGUACCUGCGGUGUUUGGCUGCCCACUCCUUCUCAGUACCAAGCGAAGGGGGAGGAAGAGCUGGCCUCCUGGUCCACCUCUGUCUACCUCUGGGGCCCUCAAAGUGGGCAAUAAGAUCGGUGGAUGGUGAAACCACCAAGGGUGCAGAGGGUGAGGCCCAGACAUCUGUCUCCUCCUCCCUUCGGUGCCAUCAGCCUGGACACGAAGUCAACAUUUUUAUCUGAUCCUUGUUGAAUGUGAACUUGCUUCUGGAAAAAGCAAACAAGGAUGUGGAAGUUCAAGUUGACAACUGGCUUCAAACGGAGGAAUCCCCCAGAGAAGCCCCACACAGUAAGUGCAGGCACAGGCUCUCUAAUCAUGCAUCUUUGCUCACAGCCCAGCAAAAAACGAAGGGCCAUCGAACAGCCUGACCGUUGGACAGCUUGAUGCCUAUGUUUGAACAUUUGGCACCUGCUCUGGGGAUUAAAGCUCUUCUGUACCCACAGCGCAGCACCUGCCAGAAGUCCAUUAUCAAGCGCUGGACACUUUUGAGAUGAGAUAGUCACAGACUGUAUAGUCAGUCCAAGCUGGGCACGUGGCAGUAAGACAGACCCAGACCCAGAGACUUAAAACAUCAACAGUUUAUGCCAUGAUGGCAGGGCAUGGUGGUGCAUGCCUGUAACCCCAGCAGCUCAAAAGGCUGAGGCAGGAGGAUCAUGAGUUCAAAAGCCAGCCUCAGCAAAAUCGAGGCACUAAGCAACUUAGACCCUGUCUCUAAGUAAAAUAUAAAUAAAAUACAAAAUAGGGCUGGGUACGUGGCUCAGUGGUACAGUGCCCCUGAGUUCAAUCUCUGGUACCCACCACAAAAAAAGAAUUUAUGCCAUGAGACCAGAGAGAAGAAGCGGCCAACAUCUCAGAUAUUGUGUCAUCAAGUCUGAAGGAAGAGAGACACCUGGGAGUGUCUUGCUUUGUCUUUAACCUGCUUGUGGCCCUGAUGCUUCUUGGGAGCCUGAAGGAAUCACUAUAUGCUGGACAGAUAGACCCACCCAUGUACUGGCACAUGUGACUAGCACUACGGCAGUAUGUAGGGACUUCUGACAUACAGAAGAGCCACCAAAGGGGCACUUCUUAACCUUGCCUGUGGGGAGGAUAAACUGCCCAUGAGGGGUCCCUUGGGCUGGGCAGAGGCACAAAGUAUCCAGGGGGCACUACUUCCACAAAAAACAUGACCUCUCUUUCUGGGCAGGAUCACCCCCAAAAUGCCCAUGAACUGCUGCCACUGGCCUGUGCCUGGCUGGACUGUAAAGGGUGAGCAUGGGGAGGUGAACACAGUCUCACUGGUCUUAGCCAGGCCCCCUUUAGCUCUUCCCUCCCCAUUCUCCUGGCUGGAAACCACCCUUGACCUUGCAUAGUCAGAAGCCAACUGACAACCACCAGGUCAAGUUGCCCUGAAGACGAGAGUCCAGUUCAAGACGUUGCCUGAACUCCCUCACUCACAGCAGUGGAGUGAGUGGCUGUGGGAUCCUGUGUGCUCCCAGUCUGUCUUCUUGCUGUCUGUCCAACACCUCCCCCACCAGGCAUCCCAGGCCCCACCACAACCUGCUCUUGGUCCCAGCAUCCCUCUGACCUGACAACAACUCCUAGCGCUUUCCUCUUAGUGAAUGGUGUCAAUUCUCUCCUGGCAGCUUGCCAACCCUUGGGUGUGGGAGUUAAGGUCAUAAUUCUGCACUAGGAUCCAGAUCAUUUCUGACUGGGAUAGAACCUGACUUCAGGAACCACACCAGCGCCUUCUCUCUCCUUCCACUACUAUGCCCCCACAAGCUCAGCUUGCAGCUAGAGCAGUCCCAAACUGACCACCUGAAAAGCUGAGCAUGCCCCCAGACACUGCAAGGAGUGCUUGGUAGGUGCUGCCCCACACACAGUUGGGGCCUCCGAUUUGUGGGCCCUGUUCUGUAAGCCCUGGAUCAUCUUGCAGUACCCUGUGUUUCCCUUAGUGACGGAGAGAUGAUAACUCUGGGGACCUCCAGCCUGUGCCGAGGGGGCCUCAGCCUGGGGUCAGCCUGCUUGCAAACUCCAGGUCAGAAUCACUCACUCACACUUCCACGUGACAGGAGAGGUCUCCAGAACUUUGGUGGGUCUCUAUGGCCAGCAGCAAGGAGUUAACCCCCUUUGUGGUGUUUGAAGCUCUCUGCUGACUGAUGUCCUAGCCCCUGCCCCAGUAACUACUCUUAUUCCCUUCAGUCUGCUGUUUGAACCAUAGCCAGAUUUUGCAAAAAAGGGCCAUCCCACUUUUCCCUGCUGCUCCUUUGCCGACUUUGCAGAGAGAUCCUGUGCCCCAAGACCACAAAGUCACCCCACUCACCUACUGCAAAGCCAAGGCCUGGAUGCCCCUCAGUCUUGCCCACACUCUAAAUAGAGCCACCAUGUGGAGAGAGCAAAAUAUGAGGUAGCAGGAUCCUUGUGGGGAUGAUCAGGGGAGGCCUGCCUCUGCCCCAAACUGGUGGUCCUGAGCAGCUUGCAGGUCAGUGUCAAGGCUGUGUGUUACGGUCUGAAUGUGUCCCUCACAGUUCAGGUGCUGUGAACAAUGCCAGUUGGACAGAGCUGCAAGGCAGGCCCUUCAGAAAGUGAUCAGGAC